rnacentral:snoRNA from 1 species
AAACCGUGGUGAGUGCAUUAUCUAAUGUAGCCUUUAUAACGAUCCCAAGAUUCAUGAAAAGUUUUGCCUCUUUUUUGUUGGAAUCUAUAUAUCUUGUCUCUAAAGAAC